rnacentral:rRNA from 1 species
GACGAACGCUGGCGGCGUGCUUAACACAUGCCAGUCGAGCGAGGCCCCUCCUUCGGGAGGGUGUCCUAGCGGCGAACGGGUGAGUAACACGUGGGCAACCUGCCCUCAGCUCUGGGAUAACUCCGGGAAACCGGGGCUAAUACCGGAUACGACCUCCACGGGCAUCUGCGGAGGUGGAAAGUUUUUCGGCUGAGGAUGGGCCCGCGGCCUAUCAGCUAGUUGGUGGGGUAGUGGCCCACCAAGGCGACGACGGGUAGCCGGCCUGAGAGGGCGACCGGCCACACUGGGACUGAGACACGGCCCAGACUCCUACGGGAGGCAGCAGUGGGGAAUAUUGCGCAAUGGGCGAAAGCCUGACGCAGCGACGCCGCGUGAGGGACGAAGGCCUUCGGGUUGUAAACCUCUUUCAGCAGGGACGAAGCGAAAGUGACGGUACCUGCAGAAGAAGCACCGGCCAACUACGUG